UACGUAGGGUGCAAGCGUUGUCCGGAAUUAUUGGGCGUAAAGAGCUCGUAGGCGGCUUGUCGCGUCGGCUGUGAAAACCUGGGGCUCAACCCCGGGCCUGCAGCCGAUACGGGCAAGCUAGAGUUCGGUAGGGGAGACUGGAAUUCCUGGUGUAGCGGUGAAAUGCGCAGAUAUCAGGAAGAACACCCGUGGCGAAGGCGGCUCUCUGGGACGGUACUGACGCUGAGACGCGAAAGCGUGGGGAGCAAACAGG
rnacentral:rRNA from 1 species